UACGGGGGGGGCAAGCGUUGUUCGGAAUUACUGGGCGUAAAGGGCGCGUAGGCGGCGACUCAAGUUAGAUGUGAAAGUCCUGGGCUUAACCUGGGGACUGCAUUUGAUACUGGGUUGCUUGAAUUCGGGAGAGGAUAGCGGAAUUCCCAGUGUAGAGGUGAAAUUCGUAGAUAUUGGGAAGAACACCGGUGGCGAAGGCGGCUAUCUGGACCGACAUUGACGCUGAGGAGCGAAAGCCAGGGGAGCAAACGGG
rnacentral:rRNA from 1 species